AUAUGGCGGCAACACGAAAGUUUAUUUAUGUUUUGAGUCUCUUUCUUUCCAUAUUUUUUUCACCAAAAUAACUGAUGCUUGUAAAACAGACAAAGAUUGUCCAGAAUCAAAAUACAGAUAUAUAUUCAAGUGUCGUAGUGCAAAUUAAUUAAAAACCAAGCUUGUACAAGCGGCGCAAAGACCGGCAGCAGAAAGACAAAACAGACUCCAAAACCCCCUGGGAGGCACAGAACUGCAGCAGAGCGGCCCCUGCCACCACAGACCGCAAACCAGACCUCGCACUCCAGAAACCGUUAAGGUACAGACCGCUGAACAGCAGCAGCCCAACACGAUUCAUAUAAGAGUGAGGGUGAAACCUUUAGCCUACUCAAAGACCAACUCCAAGACAACGAAAGUUGAAAUGAAUUAAAAAAUGAUGAUGAAAGUAAGGCUGUAUAGACACUAUUUGAUGUUACCACUAGGCUGUAUAUACACUACUCAACCAGAGAAUAAUCAACUUCAUCAUGUUGUUGCUCCCUGAAUAUACUUCACAAGCCAUAGUUUCACAGUUAAUAUAAUACACACAGGUUUCAUAUCCCAACUUGAGGGUUUCUCAGUGCAUAGCAUUUGUGACGGGAAUAAAAUAAUGAAAGGUCACCCAAUUUUCUAGCUUGACAUAACUGAUCGUUGAAAGAAGGAUUUAAAGGAUAUCUACCCGAAAGAAACAAUUACUAUAAGUGUAAAAUAAUUU
rnacentral:lncRNA from 1 species